UACGUAGGGGGCAAGCGUUGUCCGGAGUUACUGGGCGUAAAGCGCACGCAGGCGGUCGCGUACGUUUAGGGUGACAGCUCCCGGCUUCACUGGGAGAGUGCCUUGAAGACGGCGUGACUUGAGGGCCAGAGAGGGACACAGAAUUCCGGGUGGAGCGGUGAAAUGCGUAGAGAUCCGGAGGAAUACCGAAGGCGAAGGCCGUGUCCUGGCUGGCUCCUGACGCUCAGGUGCGACAGCUAGGGGAGCGAACGGG
rnacentral:rRNA from 1 species